UGUCAAUCGGUUGGUUGGUAACUUGGUGCAAAUGGCACAUCCUGGAACGGAAGUAGGUUCUAGGUUGCACAUGUCAGUUUUGUUGAGCUAUGGUGCUGUUCGUGAGUCUGAUGAUUCCACAUGUUCUAUUGCUGACAGUAGACAAGAGAAUAACUCUAAACUCUCUCUUAUUUUCCCUCGUCAAAGUUAUACAAUUAAAGAAGGAAAACCACGACCGAAUGUUA
rnacentral:misc_RNA from 1 species